GUUUCAAACUCCUGACUUCACGUGACCACCAGCCUCAGCCUCCCAAAGUGCUGGGAUUACAGGCGUGAGCCACCGAGACCAGCCUCACCUCAUUCACUCUUACCUGGACGCCUGACUUUACUUGAGAUACAGGCAUAGUGAUUCUCAGCAGGAAACAGCCUGCCCCCACGUCACGCCCAGAGACCCAUCACUGGCUGCCUGGCUUGGUGACAAAGUCCAUGCAGACGGAGUUUCACCAUGUUGGCCAGGCUGCUUUCGAACUCCCUAUCUCAGGUCAUCUGACUGCCUCAGCCCCCCAGAGUGCUGGGAUUACAGGUGUAAGCUACUGUGCCCAGCCAAAUUUCCUUCCUAAUUUCUUCAUUGAACCACUGGCCAUUCCGGACCAUAUUGUUUAAUUUUCACGUACUUGCCUUGUGACCUAACAUAUGGUGUAUCCUUGAGAAUGAUCCAUGUGCUGAGGAGAAGAAUGUGUAUUCUGCAGACUUUAGACGAAGUGUUCUAUUUCUAAUCAGAAACAUGGAGGCCAGGAAGCAGUGGAGAAUGACGACCCUCAGGCAGCCCUGGAGGAUGCUGUCACAGGCUGGGGCAAG